UACGAAGGGGGCUAGCGUUGCUCGGAAUUACUGGGCGUAAAGGGCGCGUAGGCGGAUACUUAAGUCGGGGGUGAAAGCCCAGGGCUCAACCCUGGAACAGCCUUCGAUACUGGGUAUCUUGAGUACGGGAGAGGUGUGUGGAACUCCGAGUGUAGAGGUGAAAUUCGUAGAUAUUCGGAAGAACACCAGUGGCGAAGGCGGCUCACUGGACUGGUAUUGACGCUGAGGUGCGAAAGCGUGGGGAGCAAACAGG
rnacentral:rRNA from 1 species